rnacentral:rRNA from 1 species
GGGAGUAGCAAUACAACUGGUGGCGACCGGCGCACGGGUGAGUAACACGUAUGCAACCUGCCUGUAAGAGGGGAAUAACCCGGAGAAAUUCGGACUAAUACCGCAUAAUACUUUAUUGCUGCAUGGCAAUAAAGUUAAACAUUUAUGGCUUACAGAUGGGCAUGCGUAUGAUUAGCUAGUUGGUGAGGUAACGGCUCACCAAGGCAACGAUCAUUAGGGGUUCUGAGAGGAAGGUCCCCCACACUGGUACUGAGACACGGACCAGACUCCUACGGGAGGCAGCAGUGAGGAAUAUUGGUCAAUGGGCGAGAGCCUGAACCAGCCAAGUCGCGUGAAGGAAGACUGCCCUAUGGGUUGUAAACUUCUUUUGUAAGGGAAUAAAAAAGAGUACGUGUACUCUAUUGUAUGUACUUUACGAAUAAGGAUCGGCUAACUCCGUGCCAGCAGCCGCGGUAAUACGGAGGAUCCGAGCGUUAUCCGGAUUUAUUGGGUUUAAAGGGUGCGUAGGCGGACCCUUAAGUCAGUGGUGAAAGUUUGCAGCUUAACUGUAAAAUUGCCAUUGAAACUGAGGGUCUUGAGUGUAAAUAAGGUAGGCGGAAUGUGUUGUGUAGCGGUGAAAUGCUUAGAUAUAACACAGAACACCAAUUGCGAAGGCAGCUUACUGGGAUACAACUGACGCUGAGGCACGAAAGCGUGGGGACCAAACAGGAUUAGAUACCCUGGUAGUCCACGCAGUAAACGAUGAAUACUAACUGUAUGCGAUAUACUGUAUGUGGUACAGCGAAAGCGUUAAGUAUUCCACCUGGGGAGUACGUUCGCAAGAAUGAAACUCA